UGGGGAAUAUUGGACAAUGGGCGAAAGCCUGAUCCAGCCAUGCCGCGUGUGUGAAGAAGGUCUUCGGAUUGUAAAGCACUUUAAGUUGGGAGGAAGGGCAGUUACCUAAUACGUAUCUGUUUUGACGUUACCGACAGAAUAAGCACCGGCUAACUCUGUGCCAGCAGCCGCGGUAAUACAGAGGGUGCAAGCGUUAAUCGGAAUUACUGGGCGUAAAGCGCGCGUAGGUGGUUUGUUAAGUUGAAUGUGAAAUCCCCGGGCUCAACCUGGGAACUGCAUGCAAAACUGGCAAGCUAGAGUAUGGUAGAGGGUGGUGGAAUUUCCUGUGUAGCGGUGAAAUGCGUAGAUAUAGGAAGGAACACCAGUGGCGAAGGCGACCACCUGGACUGAUACUGACACUGAGGUGCGAAAGCGUGGGGAGCAAACA
rnacentral:rRNA from 1 species